CCUUCCACCUCUGAAGUUUCCCUCAGGAUAGCUGGCACUCGGCCGUGGGGCAGUUUUACCCGGUAAAGCGAAUGAUUAGAGGUCUUGGGGCCGAGAAGUCACCUCUUCAUCCUCUUCCUCUGAUUCACACUAUCAAUGGGUAAGGG